CGGUUAAGUUAGAAAGGGCGCACGGUGGAUGCCUUGGCACUAGGAGCCGAUGAAGGACGGGACGAACACCGAUAUGCUUCGGGGAGCUGUAAGCAAGCUUUGAUCCGGAGAUUUCCGAAUGGGGAAACCCACCACUCGUAAUGGAGUGGUAUCCAUAUCUGAAUACAUAGGAUAUGAGAAGGCAGACCCGGGGAACUGAAACAUCUAAGUACCCGGAGGAAGAGAAAGCAAAUGCGAUUCCCUGAGUAGCGGCGAGCGAAACGGGACCAGCCCAAACCAAGAGGCUUGCCUCUUGGGGUUGUAGGACACUCUGUACGGAGUUACAAAGGAACGAGGUAGAUGAAGAGGUCUGGAAAGGCCCGCCAUAGGAGGUAACAGCCCUGUAGUCAAAACUUCGUUCUCUCCUGAGUGGAUCCUGAGUACGGCGGAACACGUGAAAUUCCGUCGGAAUCCGGGAGGACCAUCUCCCAAGGCUAAAUACUCCCUAGUGACCGAUAGUGAACCAGUACCGUGAGGGAAAGGUGAAAAGCACCCCGGAAGGGGAGUGAAAGAGAUCCUGAAACCGUGUGCCUACAAGUAGUCAGAGCCCGUUAACGGGUGAUGGCGUGCCUUUUGUAGAAUGAACCGGCGAGUUACGAUCCCGUGCAAGGUUAAGCAGAAGAUGCGGAGCCGCAGCGAAAGCGAGUCUGAAUAGGGCGAAUUGAGUACGUGGUCGUAGACCCGAAACCAGGUGAUCUACCCAUGUCCAGGGUGAAGUUCAGGUAACACUGAAUGGAGGCCCGAACCCACGCACGUUGAAAAGUGCGGGGAUGAGGUGUGGGUAGGGGUGAAAUGCCAAUCGAACCUGGAGAUAGCUGGUUCUCUCCGAAAUAGCUUUAGGGCUAGCCUCAAGGUAAGAGUCUCGGAGGUAGAGCACUGAUUGGACUAGGGGCCCCUACCGGGUUACCGAAUUCAGUCAAACUCCGAAUGCCGAUGACUUAUCCUUGGGAGUCAGACUGCGAGUGAUAAGAUCCGUAGUCGAAAGGGAAACAGCCCAGACCGCCAGCUAAGGUCCCAAAGUAUACGUUAAGUGGAAAAGGAUGUGGAGUUGCUUAGACAACCAGGAUGUUGGCUUAGAAGCAGCCACCAUUUAAAGAGUGCGUAAUAGCUCACUGGUCGAGUGACUCUGCGCCGAAAAUGUACCGGGGCUAAACGUAUCACCGAAGCUGCGGACUGUUCUUCGAACAGUGGUAGGAGAGCGUUCUAAGGGCUGUGAAGCAAGACCGGAAGGACUUGUGGAGCGCUUAGAAGUGAGAAUGCCGGUAUGAGUAGCGAAAGAGGGGUGAGAAUCCCCUCCACCGAAUGCCUAAGGUUUCCUGAGGAAGGCUCGUCCGCUCAGGGUUAGUCGGGACCUAAGCCGAGGCCGAAAGGCGUAGGCGAUGGAUAACAGGUUGAUAUUCCUGUACCACCUCCUCACCAUUUGAGCAAUGGGGGGACGCAGGAGGAUAGGGUAAGCGCGGUAUUGGAUAUCCGCGUCCAAGCAGUUAGGCUGGGAAAUAGGCAAAUCCGUUUCCCGUGAAGGCUGAGCUGUGAUGGCGAGCGAAUUAUAGUAGCGAAGUUCCUGAUUCCACACUGCCAAGAAAAGCCUCUAGCGAGGUGAGAGGUGCCCGUACCGCAAACCGACACAGGUAGGCGAGGAGAGAAUCCUAAGGUGAUCGAGAGAACUCUCGUUAAGGAACUCGGCAAAAUGACCCCGUAACUUCGGGAGAAGGGGUGCUCUGUUAGGGUGCAAGCCCGAGAGAGCCGCAGUGAAUAGGCCCAGGCGACUGUUUAGCAAAAACACAGGUCUCUGCGAAGCCGUAAGGCGAAGUAUAGGGGCUGACGCCUGCCCGGUGCUGGAAGGUUAAGAGGAGCGCUUAGCGUAAGCGAAGGUGCGAAUUGAAGCCCCAGUAAACGGCGGCCGUAACUAUAACGGUCCUAAGGUAGCGAAAUUCCUUGUCGGGUAAGUUCCGACCCGCACGAAAGGCGCAACGAUCUGGGCACUGUCUCAACGAGAGACUCGGUGAAAUUAUAGUACCUGUGAAGAUGCAGGUUACCCGCGACAGGACGGAAAGACCCCGUGGAGCUUUACUGCAGCCUGAUAUUGAAUGUUGGUACAGCUUGUACAGGAUAGGUAGGAGCCUUGGAAACCGGAGCGCCAGCUUCGGUGGAGGCAUCGGUGGGAUACUACCCUGGCUGUAUUGACCUUCUAACCCGCCGCCCUUAUCGGGCGGGGAGACAGUGUCAGGUGGGCAGUUUGACUGGGGCGGUCGCCUCCUAAAAGGUAACGGAGGCGCCCAAAGGUUCCCUCAGAAUGGUUGGAAAUCAUUCGCAGAGUGUAAAG
rnacentral:rRNA from 1 species